UAAUACAGAGGGUGCGAACGUUGCUCGGAAUUACUGGGCGUAAAGCGCGUGUAGGCGGGUCGGCAAGUCAGGCGUGAAAUCCCCAGGCUCAACCUGGGAACUGCGCUUGAAACUGCCGGUCUUGAGUAUCGGAGAGGGUGGCGGAAUUCCUGGUGUAGAGGUGAAAUUCGUAGAUAUCAGGAGGAACACCGGUGGCGAAGGCGGCCACCUGGACGAUUACUGACGCUGAGACGCGAAAGCGUGGGGAGCAAACAGGAUUAGAUACCCUGGUAGUCCACGCCGUAAACGAUGGGUGCUAGGUGUCUCGGGUAUUGACCCCUGAGGUGCCGUAGCUAACGCGUUAAGCACCCCGCCUGGGAAGUACGGCCGCAAGGCUA
rnacentral:rRNA from 1 species